UACUCUUUGGGGUAUCAUUUGGUAGCACCUCAGGCUAUUAACGAAGAACAUGAAUGUGUUUUUCACGAAUUUUUAGCCAGUGUGAAUCAAGAUGGAAGAUUACACAAAAUCAACUGCUUGGCUUUAGUUUUCAAGAGUGCUGCUUUCUUUUAGUUUCUAGCAAUGGACAAUUCCAACGCGGGAUUAUGAAAACUAACACCAGAAGGCCGCCUAUUAGGAUUGCGCAGUUUCUAAGAAUGGACCAUUCCAUGCUGGAUUAUGGGAACUGACACUAGAAUGCCGCCUAUUAGGAUUGCACAAUCUGAAGUCUGAAGGCUUUCAAGUGGGAAUGUGUUUCUCUUUUCCAUGACCAAUUCUUUCAUGCAUUGAUAUACAGUCCAAGAUGUAUUGUCGAAUACCAAUCAUUUUGUGUGGUAGGCCAAGAGUUAUUCGUUGAAACUUGAAAGUACAAUAAUUUUGUAUUGUCGAAUACCAAACCAAAUGAUCAUAUCAAAA